rnacentral:rRNA from 1 species
UACGUAGGGUGCAAGCGUUAAUCGGAAUUACUGGGCGUAAAGCGUGCGCAGGCGGCUUUGCAAGACAGAUGUGAAAUCCCUCGGCUUAACCGGGGAACUGCGUCUGAUACUGGAUGGCUUGAGUUUGGGAGAGGGAUGCGGAAUUCCAGGUGUAGCGGUGAAAUGCGUAGAUAUCUGGAGGAACACCGGUGGCGAAGGCGGCAUCCUGGACCAACACUGACGCUGAGUGAGCGAAAGCCAGGGGAGCAAACGGG